AUAUAUAUAUAUACACACACACACACACACACACACACACACAUAUAUGUGUGUGUGUGUAUAUAUAUAUUU